ACCCCGGAAGUCACGUACCCACUCUGUAGGUGCCCCGGGGCACAGGCAAGCGGACGAGCCAGUUAUCCCUCAGAGCUCCUGCUGCCUCGCCCGCUUUCUCUCGGAAACGUGAAGUGUGGCCUCAGCUGAAAGUGAGGUGGGCCUCAUUCAAUCAGUUGAAUUCUUCAAGAGAGAAAAACUGAAGUCCCUUAGAAGGAAAGAGUUCUGCCUUCAGACUGUCUUUGAACUUAAGACUGUAGCGUCGACUCCUGCCGGAAUUUCCAGCCUGCUGGCCAGCUCUGCAGAUUCACACUUGCCAGCCUCCACAAUCGCAGCUGAGGCGGAGGAACCCUAAGGGCUCAUUGAGAUCAUGGAUUUGCCCUUCUAUGCAUUGAUGGAGCACCUGCUGCCCACAGCGUCUGUAUUUGGUGCUGGGAUGCUGAGGACACUGAGAUCUUCAAACAGAGGCUGCCACUCUAAGCAAACAGAUCCCGAGCCCUGGACUCUGAAGCUUGGGCCCAGUUCUCCUUUUCUCCGGGUUUCAGAUCCCACUGUGAAGUGAGGGGGCCCUUCUGAUUCAGGACCCGGGGAAGCCAGGGGCAUGAGCAUCGGUGCCUCUUCUCUAUUUCAAGGACCCUUCUGGGUGUAAAGUUCUCUGAGAUGCCUUACAUGGAUUCCCACCACUGCAAGAUAACCAUCGUAUGUAAAGUGUUAUGACCAGCAGAGCGUAAUUGAAGUGCAUUCCAGAGGGAAAGACAGCGGCUCAGAAAAGCGUGUGUAGCUGUGACAUAGUUCACAUUCCACAACCACUGAAGGGUUGAAACAUGAACUUGAAAGUAAAUAGCUUUGUGGAGAUUCACAUCGAGGAGCACUGUGCAGUCAUUCAGAAGAAUAAACUCCAGCUCUGCCCGGUGAUGGCAGGGGUGUUAACAAUGCAGUAUUGAGCUCAAAAAGUAACUUGCUAAAAGAACACAUGCCCCCACAUGAAAACGCGAAAGGUGUCAGAGGUAGCGUUUCUACCUGUGGGCCUGCGGAGAGCUACGUGGAUCUUCCCCUCCCAACAGUCGAGAAGACUCGAGGCCGCCUCUGAGCACCUCCCCUGGCUCAGCGGAGUACAGUGCACCGUCCCCACAGCUCCUUCCUGAGCUUUCGGUCCACUUUAAAUCAAUAGCAGAAGAAUGUAUUUGAUUAUCAGGCUGAUUUUACUCUCUGUGCUCUAAUGAAGAGCCCAUAUUAUGCAAAUGCAUAUGAUGAUGACAGCAGGUUUUUAAACUGCAAAUUCAUUCUCCAAGCUCAAAAUAAACUUUUGUUGUGGGGUGGGGGACGGUGUACUAUAACACAAGGAAGAUGGGAAAACUCAUUUCAGAAAGAAUGCAUCCCAGGAAAAAAAAUAAUUAAGCUCCUUAGAAUUAAUUUGAAGGCUUUCGUAUUUAUCUUUUGUGACUCAUUGUUGAAAGUUAGAAGAACCAAUCAACCCUAUUCCUUCAUUCUGUCAAAUUAAA
rnacentral:lncRNA from 1 species